rnacentral:lncRNA from 1 species
GCUGAAGUUCCAGAGCCGGUAAACGCAUGCCUGGGUGCUGCUUUCACUCCUACCACCCUCAGAAAAACCCGGCCUGCCAAGACCGUGAGCAAGAAUAGUAGAACUUCACAAGGUAGGGAGCAUCCCAAACUGCAGUGAUGGUAGGAACUGGAGUCUCUUCAGGAUUAAACAGAUUUACUAGUUGCAAACAGGAAGAGCAGCAGAGUGCAGGGUGUUAGCACUCGCCGAGGGGGAGGGGCUGGAAGAUGGCGGCGGACGCACACCCACCCGACCGCGACAGAGCUUAGGCCCCUAGCCCGCGCCGCCGCCCGCUGCUCGCAGCCACUGUGGGCAGCCCUGCUCUGUCCCGCGUUGCUGGUAGAGCCGCCCCGCGGAGGCGUGGGACCAGGGUGGCGUCCGCAUCCCCUGCCAGCGCGCCUUCGCCCGGGUCCGUCCAGGGAGCACCUGUGCACGGCCAUAUUGGAUUCUGUGCCCCAGUCACUGCCUCAGCGCGGCGGGAAAGGAGAGGAGUUCAACAAUUUUUAUGAAUUUCUAAUCCAACCUCAUCAUCCUAUGGGAAACAGAAGACCACCAAGAACAGCCAGCUGGUAUCUUGGCAGUAACCUCCUCCAUAUAUUUCCUUGGCCCUCAGCUUACAUCUAGCAAAAUGACUCUACUGGUUCCAGGCUUCACAUGCAUACAACAUGGUGUUGGAGGAACAGAGAUGUUUUCUCUUCCUGGUGUUUUCCCAGACAUUUCUUAGCUGGCAUUUCAAACAAGGGUCCUGAAAUUCACCCUGGUUGGGUCGUGUUCUCCCCUUCCCAUUCCCCAUCCCCACCCUCAACCGAAAAAUGAUGUAAGCAGGGGAAAUUGAAUGUACCAAUGUUUGUUUUUAAACAAGCCACAGACCCCUCCCCAACUCCCCGACUGAAGCUUGAAGUGGGAUCAGCUUUCCCUAAAGUACUUGAGCUUAUGGUAAAGCAUAUAUGUUAUCCAAGUUAAAGUCUGGACGCUGUUAGUAAUGGGAAGGCAAGUAAUGAAUGUUAGCUAUGGAGCCAACAGACAGUGUCCACUCCAUUGUCUUUAAGGCCCAACUAAAGAUAACCUCUUUACCAAUGUCGGUUUAUUUAUUCAUUUAUUUAUUCAUUGAGAUGGAGUCUCACUCUCUCACCCAAGCUGGAGUGCAGUGGAAUGAUCUCAGCUGACUGCAAUUUCUGCCUCCCAGGUUCAAGCAAUCUCCUGCUUCAGCCUCCCAAGUAGCUGGGAUUACAGGCGCACACCACCAUGCCCGGCUAAUUUUUGUAUUUUUAGUAGAGAUAGGGUUUCACCAUGUUGGCCAAGCUGGUCUCGGACACCUGACCUCAAGUGAUCUGCCUGCCUCGGCCCCCAAAGGUGUGAGCCACUGCACCUGGCUACAAUGUCAGUUUCUAUAAAAACUGCCUUGACUUGUUUUGUUUGCUUGUUUUGUUUGUUUGUGUUUUAAUUUUUAUUAUUUUUUUUUAGAGACAGGGUCUCAAUCUGUUGUCUAGGCUUGAGUGCAGUGGUGCAAUCAUAGCUCACUGAAGUGUUGGACUCCCAGGCUCAAGCAGUCCUCCCACCUCAGCCUCCCAAGUAGCUGAGACUACAGGCAUGCACCACCCUGUCUGGCUAAUUUUUUAUUUUUAGUAGAGAUGAGGUCUCACUAUGUUGCCCAAGGUGGCCUCAAACUCCUGGCCUCAAGUACUCCUGUGGCCUUAGCCUCCCAAAGCUCUGGGAUUGCAGGUAUGAGCCGCCAUGCCUGGCCUACUGUAUAUUUUAUGCAUUUGAUAUAAGUCUUGCCUCCCUAAGUAUAUUACAAGUCCCUUGAAGUUAAAGACAUUAGAUUCCUACUCAGUGCUGAGCUGCAACAGAGAGCACUCAAUGAUGGAUAAAAUAGUUUUAGCAUGCAUUCAGCGAUAUAUAUUUAGAAAGUGGAACUAGGUGGUUGAAAAAAGUGUAUAGAUGGGUGGAAGGGAAUAUUACAGCUCUUAGAAUUGUCCUAAGGUGAGAGUAACAAAUUAAGCAAUGAGUCCCUGGGUUCACUCAAGCAACUUCACUCUCUAAAACAAGAGCCCACAGAAUCCCAUUUCUGCUUUCAGAAUGAGUUUGAGGCCAAUAUUAUUUCCAUUUUUUUUCUUUUUCUUUCUUUCUUUUUUUUUUUUUUUUUUUUGAGACGGAGUUUCACUCUUGUUGCCCAGGCUGUUUUGAUCUCGGCUCACUGCAACCUCUGCCCCUGGGUUCAAGCGAUUCUCCUGUCUCAACCUCCCAAGCUGGGAUUACAAGCAUGCGCUACCACACCUGGCUAAUUUUGUAUUUUUAAUAGAGACGGGGUUUCUCUGUGUUGGUCAGGCUGGUCUCAAACUCCCAACCUCAGGUGAUCUGCCCACCUUGGCCCAGCCUCCAAUAUGAUUUUCUAAUAGCUGUGUUUGAUGAUUAUAUUUAUUCCUCCAUCAGUAGCUUUUUUAGCCUUGAAAAUAUCUAUUUAAGUUUCUUAUUUCCUUUGGAUCUAUCAAAGUGUUUUUCCCCAAGUGGCACCUGGGAAAACAUAUUCUAUUCAUUUAUUUUAUAACUGUUCCCUUGACCUCUUUAUUGCUUCCCUAUUACAACCCAAGAUGCUCUUGUAAACCUGACUUAAUAUUGGCAGUCUUCAUCCCUUGCAAAUGGAAGUGAUGACAGACCCAAUACUUUGUGUAAAAAUAUUUUGCUAUUUCUAUACAAAAUAUUUUAUUAAUGGAAACCACAUGUUAUGUAUUUUACAUAUGUUAUGACUUGAAAUUUAUGUUAUGACUUGAAAUUGGGGAAUCUGAUAUGUCUCUAAUAAUAAAGGCUUCACAGUA